rnacentral:rRNA from 1 species
UACGGGGGUGCAAGCGUUGUUCGGAAUUAUUGGGCGUAAAGAGCGUGUAGGCGGCGGAAUAAGUCAGAUGUGAAAGCCCUGGGCUUAACCCAGGAAGUGCAUUUGAUACUGUUCUGCUUGAGUACUGGAGAGGGAAGAGGAAUUCCUGGUGUAGAGGUGAAAUUCGUAGAUAUCAGGAGGAACACCGGUGGCGAAGGCGACUUCCUGGCCAGAUACUGACGCUGAGACGCGAGAGCGUGGGGGAGC